rnacentral:rRNA from 1 species
UACAGGGGGUGCAAACGUUGCUCGGAAUUAUUGGGCGUAAAGCGCGCGUAGGCGGCCACUUAAGUCGGAUGUGAAAGCCCCUGGCUCAACUGGGGAAGUGCACCCGAAACUGAAUGGCUUGAAUGCAAAAGAGGGUCGCGGAAUUCCCGGUGUAGAGGUGAAAUUCGUAGAUAUCGGGAGGAACACCGGUGGCGAAGGCGGCGACCUGGGUUGACAUUGACGCUGAGGAGCGAAAGCGUGGGUAGCAAACAGG